UCUGCAGUGACGGUAGCAAGUUCAAUAACGUGUAGUGCAUACGUUUUCUCUCAGCUACAAAGCACCUUCCUUAAGAAAUGCUUAUAAAAUAUUCAAUGUAAACUACUGAAGAAACUCAUAUUUAGUAGUACUCCCCAAGCUCUACUGUAUGUGCACUGCUUCAUCCUUAUUGUCAGUGUACCUCCAUGACCAGCUGAAGAGAUUACCAACUCUAGACAACUCCCAGAUGUUUGUUGCCAUCCUCUUGCCAAGAAAUGCUGCCUUGUCAGAUCCACUGGUUAAAUUACGUGUGCUAUCAUUUCCUAAUUUAUAUCAAAAUGAGUUUAGUUGGCAAAACAGGUAAGCAAAAAAAAAUCUAUUCUUUUCAUGGUUUAUGCUGGAUCAUUUUAGUAUUCAUAACCUAGAAAAUAAUCUCAGCAGAAGCUUCUGCUCAAAAGCUAAUGGGUUGGCAGCUACUGAAAGCAGUAUGGGGUUGGUUAACUUCAGAUAAUAGUUACAACUAAAAGAGGAGAGAUGCCCACACCAUACAGAUUUAUGUCAGGGUCAAGCAAAAUAUUUGGGCAGCUAUGUAAUCUAAAGCAUGUUGACCAUUCCACUGUUUUAAAUGUAACUACUUAUAAGCUAUUUCUUAAGAUUGCUUUUAUAUUGUUGUAGAAGACACAACCACAUGAUGAGGUUUAUUUCAAUUAAAGUUAUAUAUAUGAAAAUUAGGCAUCUUAUCUGCAUUCAUACUCCCAGUUUGUCCUGCAAUCAGUGGAACAGGUAUCCCCAGGAGGGUAAUUCCAGUCAUUACAACUAAGAUGUAAGCUGCAGUCUGAAGUUCAUCAUGGAGGAGUAUCCUCAUCUAUUAGUACAGGUUGGGGGAUUAUCUGCUCGUGAGGAGCUCUGCAGAGAAGGACAUGAGGAUCCUGGUGGAUGACAGGUUGGCCAUGAGCCAUCAGUGUCCCCUUGUGGCCAAGAAGGCCAGUGGUAUCCUGGGGUGCAUUAAAAAGAGCAUGGCCAGCAGGUAAAGGAAGGUGAUCCUCCCUCUCUACUCUGCCCUUGUGAGGCCAUAUUUAAAAUACAAUUUCCAGUUUUGGGCUCCUGUAAGAGUUUGCUCCUUUUUUGCACCUUCGUCUCAAAGCUUGCUAAAGGCAACACAUGGACAAGUCCAGGCAAAGUUUGAGAAAUCCUUUGUCUGAAGAUUUGCAGGCCAGGGGCAAGGAGAGAGAGAUGAGUAGCAACUUAAUGGCCAAUAAGCAAUCUUUUGUGUGAACUCAUCUCGAGGGAGAUAACUGUACCUGCAUGCUCAUGGAUGCUGCACAUGACUCUUACCUAAGUGCCCAGGAACACCAUGGCAGAAGAAGAUAGAAAAAGGAUCUACAACUGAGUGAUGUCUGAUACCAGAUACCUCAUGAUGUGAUACCUGCCUGCUGCUGGACUUUCCUGGGCCUGCUACCUGAGACCUACCUGUUUCUCCUGGACUCGCUCUUGCUGCACCUGCUUGUUGCCUAAGGCUGGCCGCUCUGCUGCUGCUCUCCUCUGCGCCCUUGCUCCUGUAUUGGCCUUGGACCAUCGGAAUGGUGUGCAAUGGGAUGCUGCUGGAUCUUGGUGAUCUAUCCACCUCAACACUACCAAAUUGUGUAUUCUCUCAAGUCCUUUGUACAUGUCCCAAACACAGAGAUGUAAACAGCAGAUGUAUAAACAGGAGUACCAGUUUCGUGUUAGGAAUUAAACACACAAGACUCCAUCACUUUCCUGUGGGACACUCGUAUACUGCGUAGUCUGAAAUGCAUUAUAGUAACCUGUAUCUUCUGGGAAUUCUCUGUCUCCAUGAACCACGGCAGCAUUGAGUGGAGCAGAAACCGAAUUUCGGCCUUGAGAAAUCAAACUCCCUAGAUAAAGUCAUGAAGAUGCAGGUGUUUUAUGAAUUAUGUCUAAUAUUAAAUAACAGCUAUCAACAAAAUAAUCCGCCCAUGCCUUCUAUUCACCAAAAUAAUAGCAACAUAAAAAUACAUAUCAUAAAGUAGACGACCUCCAACAGUUUCCCUCUACAGCUACGUUAAAUGUACUUAAUCCAGUGUGGAUGGCAACAUAAAGCAACUUUUAUUCAUAUCCCCAUGAUUCUGCUUCACCUCAAUGAAAUGAAUACCGCUUUCAAAGAAAAUUGAAAACCAAAUCAAAACCAAAAAAACCCUACUGUCAUUAUAAUACCUGCAGAGUGAUACCACUAACGGACCUGACUGUUUGUUUCUAAGGAAGAACAGCUGUGCAACAGACUGUCUGAACAGUCACUAUUACAGAAUGCAACAUGGAUCACUGACACAAAGGAAGCACUACACCAGCUGGCUUUCUGUCUUAGAGCAUUUCUAUUCCUAGAUGAUUUACCUGUUCUCAGUCCUGUCACCUUAGCACUUCUACUACCCAAUUAAAAAAUGAUGUUGCUGAAUUCUCUCUGCUGUAAAUUAAAUAUGUUAUUUAUCAGAUCAAACUGCUAUGGUUUUUUUUAAACUUUGCAAUAUAUGACUUAUUUUUAAACUUAGCUGCUUGAUUAUUUAUUUAUGGUAUAUUUUGUUCUCUUGUAGAGUUUAGAUCAGAAAAAUUCUUUUCUAAUGUAUUCACAUGCAGUGAUCUACAUUUCCUAAUCAUAAUCAUGUCAGCAAAAGCGGAGCUGCUCUUAGGAUAACGUUUUAGUCUAGAAAAUGAUUUCCCUUUAAAAUGGAUUCAAUGGACAUGAUGAUAUAAAAAGAAGAUGCAAAAUUACACACAACAGUUUGCAUAAUCAAAACAGAUAUGUUUUGUAUUCAGGGAAGAUUUCUUUUUGCUACAUUAAAUGGAAGAAAAUAAACCUUUUGGAAUUCUGCAAGUGUGCUGUGGAUGUAAAGGCGGUAGCUGUGGAAUUCCAGCAGGAUUAUGAGAAGGAUGUACAGAAAUUAAAAUAAAUAAAUUAAUAAAAAUCAGUCAAGAUAAUUAAGAAUUAUAUCAAAGGACAAGUGGAUUUAAAAAAAAAAAAUAACAAUAGUCAUUUUAUUUCAAAUUGGAACUGUGCUUCAUUUUCUGCUUUAUAACUAAAGAUAAAUUUAUGAAAGCUUAAAAUAUAGAGAUUUUUUUGUGCCAGAAAUUUACGGGUCCUCUUUUAAAUAACUGUGAGUUCAAAUGAGAUAUAAUGAAUGUGGAACUUUAUUCCGUAAAUAAUGC
ensembl:lncRNA